UACGGAGGGAGCUAGCGUUGUUCGGAAUUACUGGGCGUAAAGCGCGCGUAGGCGGCUUUGUAAGUUAGAGGUGAAAGCCCGGAGCUCAACUCCGGAACUGCCUUUAAAACUGCAUCGCUUGAAUCCAGGAGAGGUGAGUGGAAUUCCGAGUGUAGAGGUGAAAUUCGUAGAUAUUAGGAAGAACACCGGUGGCGAAGGCGGCCCACUGGAUCGGUACUGACGCUGAGACACGAAAGCGUGGGUAGCAAACAGG
rnacentral:rRNA from 1 species